rnacentral:rRNA from 1 species
AACAAUACAAGGCAGUUAAAAUGCUUUGUAAUUGGAAUGAUAGGAAUUUAAACCCUUUUUAAAGUAUCAAUUGGAGGGCAAGUCUGGUGCCAGCAGCCGCGGUAAUUCCAGCUCCAAUAGCGUAUAUUAAAAUUGUUGCAGUUAAAAAGCUCGUAGUUGAAGUUCUGCUGAAAGUAACCGGUCUGCUUUUAAUAAAAGUGGUAUCUUGGUAUGUAUUUAGCAAUGAUGUCCUUUGAAGUGUUUUUUACUUUAUUGUAAUAAAGCAUAUUCAGGACUUUUACUUUGAGAAAAUUARAGUGUUUCYAGCAGGCUAACGCUUUGAAUACUGCAGCAUGGAAUAAUAAGAUAGGAUUUUAGUUCUACAUUAUUGGUUUUAAGAGCUAAAUUAAUGAUUGAUAGGGACAGUUGGGGGCAUUUGUAUUUAACUGUCAGAGGUGAAAUUCUUAGAUUUGUUAAAGACAAACUACUGCGAAAGCAUUUGCCAAAGAUGUUUUCAUUAAUCAAGAACGAAAGUUAGGGGAUCGAAGACGAUCAGAUACCGUCGUAGUCUUAACUAUAAACUAUGCCGACUAGAGAUUGGAGGUCGUCUUUAUAAAC